UUGUGGAGGAGGACGCCGAAGGUGGGGCUAAUGACUGGGGUGAAGUCGUAACAAGGUAGCCGUACCGGAAGGUGCGGCUGGAUCACCUCCUAACAGGGAGACAACAAAAUGUUAAAUAUUAAUUUUGUCACCUUAGGUCGAUCGGUAUCUCACAUUCUUAAUUAAUUUAAGGAUUUUAUUUCCCAAGUUUUUUCUAGGUCACACCCAUUACUUUUUCCUGGGCCAUUAGCUCAGGUGGUUAGAGCGCACCCCUGAUAAGGGUGAGGUCCCUGGUUCAAGUCCAGGAUGGCCCAUAUCUCUAUGUUGGGGGUAUAGCUCAGUUGGUAGAGCGCCUGCUUUGCAAGCAGGAUGUCAGCGGUUCGAGUCCGCUUACCUCCACUGAUCACCACCUCUUCCAUAAUUUUAUAGAAGGGGAAAUGUUUUGAGUUGUGAUCAAAUUCUGAACGAAUCUAGCUUCUUAAUCAAAUUUAUUAGGAUGCUGGACUCAUUGAAUUAAUUUCAUUGUUUUCAGAGAACCUUGACAACUGCAUAGAUUAUUUUUAAAGACAAUAAGCAUCUUUAAUGAUGCAGAUUUAUUAUUUGUGCGAAUGCAUUAAUAACAAUUCUAUUAAGCUGAUGCUUCAAUUUUGAAGUUAUUGGUCAAGCUACAA
rnacentral:misc_RNA from 1 species